AGCAGUGUGGCUUAGUGGAAAGAGCAUGGGGCAGGGAGUCAGAGGACCUGGGUUCUAAUCCCAGCUCUGCCA
rnacentral:tRNA from 1 species